UACAGAGGGGGCAAGCGUUAUUCGGAAUUAUUGGGCGUAAAGGGCGCGUAGGCGGCCUGGCAAGUGGAAGGUGAAAUCCCUCGGCUUAACCGAGGAACUGCCUCCCAAACUGCUUGGCCUGAGACCAGGAGAGGUGAGUGGAAUUCCCAGUGUAGCGGUGAAAUGCGUAGAUAUUGGGAGGAACACCAGUGGCGAAGGCGGCUCACUGGACUGGUACUGACGCUGAGGCGCGAAAGCGUGGGGAGCAAACGGG
rnacentral:rRNA from 1 species